rnacentral:rRNA from 1 species
UACGGAGGGUGCAAGCGUUAUCCGGAUUCACUGGGUUUAAAGGGUGCGUAGGCGGGCAGGUAAGUCAGUGGUGAAAUCUCCGAGCUUAACUCGGAAACUGCCGUUGAUACUAUUUGUCUUGAAUGUUGUGGAGGUAAGCGGAAUAUGUCAUGUAGCGGUGAAAUGCUUAGAUAUGACAUAGAACACCAAUUGCGAAGGCAGCUUACUACACAAUUAUUGACGCUGAGGCACGAAAGCGUGGGGAUCAAACAGG